rnacentral:rRNA from 1 species
UACGGGGGGAGCAAGCGUUGUUCGGAUUUACUGGGCGUAAAGGGCGCGUAGGCGGCGCAACAAGUCACUUGUGAAAUCUCCGGGCUUAACCCGGAGCGGCCAAGUGAUACUGUCGUGCUAGAGUGCGGAAGGGGCUACUGGAAUUCUCGGUGUAGCGGUGAAAUGCGUAGAUAUCGAGAGGAACACCUGCGGCGAAGGCGGGUAGCUGGGCCGACACUGACGCUGAGGCGCGAAAGCUAGGGGAGCGAACGGG